rnacentral:rRNA from 1 species
GUAUCAUGGCUCAGGAUGAACGCUAGCUACAGGCUUAACACAUGCAAGUCGAGGGGCAGCAUGGUCUUAGCUUGCUAAGGCCGAUGGCGACCGGCGCACGGGUGAGUAACACGUAUCCAACCUGCCGUCUACUCUUGGACAGCCUUCUGAAAGGAAGAUUAAUACAAGAUGGCAUCAUGAGUUCACAUGUUCACAUGAUUAAAGGUAUUCCGGUAGACGAUGGGACG